rnacentral:tRNA from 1 species
GGGCCUGUAGCUCAACGGUUAGAGCAGGCGACUCAUAAUCGCUUGGUUGGGGGUUCGAAUCCCUCUAGGCCCA